AUGUGGCAGCGGGAGCACUGCAAGCAGCAGGAGGGGUGGGGGGCGGCGGGCACUGGCCCGGUGAUGGGGUGGGAAGGUCCCCGCGGGCUGCCCGCCGGUAACGGUGCCGGUAACGGAGCCGGGCUAACGGAGUGCAAGAGGCGGCGGCGGAGCUGCCCUCGGGGCGCGGGGAGGACGAGGGGGGGCGAGCAGCGGAGCGGGGCCACGGCGCCGGCGCCCGGUGCCCGCCCCGCUGCGGCGAGGGGCAGAGUCCAGCGGGGGUCCCUACGGGGCAGCGGGAACAGGGCUCCCGCUGCCUUCCCACGGGGGCCGAGCGGCCCCUUCCCGGUGCAGCACGGCGGGGACGGCGGCGGACAGAGCGCGGCUCAGCCCCGGCCGCGCACCGCCGCUAAGACGGCCCCCGAGGGGGGCUGCGCGCCGGGGCCUCGCCCUCCUCCUCCGGCACGGAGCCGGGCCGGGCCCCCCUCCCCGAUCGGCCCCUCCGCUGUGCCCCCGGAGCCGGUGCCGAGUCCGGAGCGAAGCACGGGAGGCGGCGGGGAGCGCGGCGAGAGCCCCGCGGCCCGGCCACCCCUGCCCUGCCCCAGCCCCGCGGCGGGCAGCACGGCGGGGGCAGCGGGCACGGCCCGGGGAGAGCCCGGCAGCCCCUCCCCGCCUUUCUACUCACCCGGUGCGGGCAGCGGAGCCGAUCGCUACCUGGAAGGUUUGAGGUUGGUUGGGUCGGAAACGUGGCAGACUUUGUGUCCCGAACGGUUUCUUUCUUUUCUUUUCUAUUUUUUUUUUUUUUUUUCCCUCCUGGAGAGCAAACGAGCCUCCGGCGGGGAACUCCCCCGAGCGGGUCCCGGGGCAGGGCCCCUCCUGCCGCCCGCUGGGCUCCGUUUCCGCGCAGCCCCGAGCCCCAGCCCCGAGCCCCGGCCCCUUUCGGCACCGCCGCGGCAGCAGGAGCGGGGCUCGGCCGGGCUCACCGGGCUCCCGUGGCGGGGGCACGGCCGCGGGUGGGCCCCAGCCCCGAGCCCCCGGACCGGCCGCUUCCUCGGCGCGGCUGCUGCCGGAGCAUCCGGGAAAGGGGAGUUACCGUGA
rnacentral:lncRNA from 1 species